rnacentral:rRNA from 1 species
ACGUACACUCCUGCGGGAGGCAGCAGUGGGGAAUUUUGGACAAUGGGCGAAAGCCUGAUCCAGCCAUGCCGCGUGCAGGAUGAAGGCCUUCGGGUUGUAAACUGCUUUUGUACGGAACGAAACGGCCUUUUCUAAUAAAGAGGGCUAAUGACGGUACCGUAAGAAUAAGCACCGGCUAACUACGUGCCAGCAGCCGCGGUAAUACGUAGGGUGCAAGCGUUAAUCGGAAUUACUGGGCGUAAAGCGUGCGCAGGCGGUUAUGUAAGACAGUUGUGAAAUCCCCGGGCUCAACCUGGGAACUGCAUCUGUGACUGCAUAGCUAGAGUACGGUAGAGGGGGAUGGAAUUCCGCGUGUAGCAGUGAAAUGCGUAGAUAUGCGGAGGAACACCGAUGGCGAAGGCAAUCCCCUGGACCUGUACUGACGCUCAUGCACGAAAGCGUGGGGAGCAAACAGGAUUAGAAACCCCAGUAGUCCCAUGA